UCCACCAGGAAAGUCAGGGGCGUGAGGGUGGAGUGGAGUCUGACAGAGAGAAAAUGAUUGACGGACAGUCGCCGCUUCCAAUCGGAGUGCCGUGCGCAGGCUGGCCAGCCUAUGGGACUCAGAUUCUAAGGCGAGAGGCGGGCCUCUCAGAUGUAGGAAGUAUUCGUGGGUGUCUGGGUAUUCAGGCAGGCGAAGGGCUUAGCGGCCUCUGGAAAAAGGCAAGCGCGAGCCGUGGACAUGCUCAUGGCGCAGAGGGGCCUUUCGGGAGUUGGGCCAUUUUCUGAUGACAGUGGUGCUGCUUUUAUCUGAGUGUGAUAAAUCCAUGGCUUUUCUUCAGCUAACUUGACAGAUGAGUGCACGGGGAAGCCAGCUGCCAUGUCAUGAGGCAGGUGAAGAGGGUCUCAAGGCAAAAAACUGAGUUCUUCCAAGAGCCAAGAACCUCCCUCUGCCCUGGGAGCGAAGACUUCUGCCACAUCCUGCAUGCCGCCGGAAGCACACGGUGCGAUGUUGUUCCAGGACCUUGCUGCAGAUGUGUAAAGUCCCUCUAACCAUUAAACCACUGACGUCUCUGUCUCUGACUCCAGGCUCUUGCUUUCGUCUUAGAGCUGGGAAAUUCCAAGACUGAAGACCAAAUACAUAUUUGAAGAACCUCAAUUAAUACCAAGCCAAACAACUACAGAGAACACCACACCCAAGUACAUUAUAUUCAAACUGCUGAACACCAAAGAUAAAGAGAAAAUCUUAACAGUGGUUGAGCUAGCUGUGCGUUUUGUUGUUGCUCUGGUUACCCUCAGUGGACCCCCAGCUUUGAAUUCUUCCAGCUUUGCCUUGUGCUUGAGAUGGGGACAGGUUAUCAGAGGUUUUCUCCAUGUUCUUAUGCCCCGCGCCACCCCCUCAGCUUUAGGCUUUCCCUCUGAGCCAGAACCUCAGAGAUCAUUGUUCUGCAUGGUCUUGCCCCAUUCUGUGUGAUGGACAGUUGAUCUUUGUAAUUGAUCCUCACUGGCCCCAUUGAGGUGCGAAAGGGUAUUCUCUGGUUUUCCCUCUUAAGCCUCAAUCUUAGGCUUCUGUUGUAUUCCUGGGGCUCAUUGGUGGAGGUUACUCAGUGAUUCUGCCACUCCUGCAAAAAUAGAGAAUUUCUAAUGAUCUGAGCCCACAUGGUUUCCUGAGACUCUCCGAACAGUAGUGUGAGUUGUGCCCUCCUUUCUUUGCUGCAGUGGGUCUUUGCCUGUGUUCUAAGUUUGGCAGUUCUUGCCACCCUUUCCUCAACAGCUUAAUGCUUUUGUUCCAUGGAGGAGGAAGAUCUGGGUGGGGAUUUAGGCUUUCUGAACCACCCUGUUCUUCAUCUUGCUUCUGAUGUCCAUAAAGAAUAACCUGUGAGUUGGUACAAACUCCCUUUAUAUCUGAAUCUCCCAGGGGUUCUAUACUCUCACACUUGCCUAAACUGGUCUUCAGCAAGUUGUUAGAAUUUUUAGCUGAAAUCUUGCCCACUUGUGUGGCAUAUGUGGCUUGACUUGGUGAAGAAAGUAGAAUGAUCGUACUCAAGGCAAAGUGCUAUCCGUAUCAAGCCUUUCUCUGAUUCCGGGGAGUGCAACCCAUGCUGGGGGAAGGAAUUCUUCGCCAACCUUGGCCAUGGGGUUAGCUCUCUUGGUCUAAACUCACUCUCUGCACCUAGCACCAAUGCUAGGCAACUACUGCUUUCAGAUAGUUCCUUUUCCGGGAGCAGAGGGCCGUGGCCCAAGCUGCAGAUAAAUUCCUAAAACUGUAUAUUUAUGUUAUGAUUUAGCAAAUUAUGUACUCUUUAAGAUUAAAUGUGGUAACCCAUUAAAUUCCCUAUGAAACUUCAUAACCUGUGGAUACAUGCAGAGCAGAAGGAAUCUUCUCAGCCCCUAAUUAGGCACGUGUGCAUUCAAUAAGUUACCCCAAAUUGCAACUCACACAGGCUAGAGCACCGCAACUGAUCUUUCUGGGGGAAAUGUAUUUGUAAGAUUUACUCUGAGGUCCAAACUUUAGAAUAAGGGGAAAGUACUUAUCCUGGGAGAAGAGGGAUCCCUUUCAGUACAUUACCAGGACUUGUUGGCUGCUUAUAUAAUAGCCAUUACCCCCAUUUUGCUUUUUAAAUAUCCCAGGUUUUUCUCAGGUACCCACCUUCUUUGUUACGGUGAAGUUUAAUCACAUUAAUUUCCCUUGCUAGGAAUGGGUUUAGGAACAGACUUAGGAAAAAUUAUGACCCAGGAGGUGAGGGGUGUGUGUGUGUGUGUG